rnacentral:lncRNA from 1 species
GAGCGCGGUGGAAAUUGGACGAGGCUGGUGGCGGCCAAAAAGGGAGUGGUGAUGAUGACAAAUGUGAGAAUUUUCUGAGUUCAUAUUCACUAAGGUGGUACGCAAGGAAGCACUCACCAAAUGUUAGCUAUUAAUAGUCUGCCGCGAAAAUGGAUGGUGGAAUGGAAGGGGGAAUGAUCGUGACGAUAGCAAGUUGUAUGUGACAGGCAUUGUCGUAAGCCACAGUUCUAUGAGGUACUUCCCAGUACUAAGGCUGCUUUGCAGAUAAGGAAACUGAGGUUAUGGGACUUAGCCAUGUGACUUUGGGCAAGUUACUGAACGACUCUGUGCUUCAGUUUCCUCCUCUGGGAAAUUGUGAUAAUAGUGCCGGGGAGUCAGAAUGGACCUUGGGAGGGGAGUUUUUCUUGGGUGACAGCUCUUCCUGUCUGCUCCCUCCAGUGGGUAACCUCUGCACGCAAGCUGGAAUAGAAAGUGUAUGGGUAGGGGGGAGUUGCGCCCCCCCCCCCACAAUGCGCCCUCCCAACUCUCUCCCACCCCAUGGCUAAAUGUCUGAAUAUCAGCCUCGCAGGAGGCCGGUUUGUCCUCCUAAUCUCCCUCUCUCAUUCUUCACCAUUUCCUACCGGGCUGUAGGCUGGGGCGGGAGAGAUAAGGGGUCUGGGGUUCAGCAUCGCUGACUAACCAACAGAUUGACAGCCCCACCGCCCAGUAGCUGGGCCCUCUGACACUCUUGCAAACCCGUUUCAACCUAGUCUUCCCUUCCACUCUUUUCCUACCUGAACGUGUCUUUUGUCCCAGUGGAAGAGGGUCGCAGCUAAAAGACCUUUACACCUCCACGUACGCCAGAGAAAACAUGUAUAUGCAGUGAUAAACACAGAGGAACGUUCUGAGGUGAUGCUUGCAAAGUGAAAGAGUAGGGAGUCUUGUAAGGGCCAAGACCCACUUUUUUUGUAUAGUCAGAAGGGAGGUUUCUGUACAACAAAGGUUGGCAAACUUUUUCUGUAAAGGGCCAGAUAGUAAAUAUUUUAGGUUUUGCAGGCCACAUACUGGCCUCUGGGGCAUUUUCUUCCUUCCUUUUCUUUCUUUCACUUUCUCUUUUCUUUUCUUCAUCUUCUUUUUUUAGGGCUGCACUGGCAGCAUAUGGAGGUUCCUAGGCUAGGGGUCCAGUCGGAGCUGUAGCUGCCGGCCUACACCACAGCCACAGCCACAGCCACACCAGUUUGGAGCCGUGUCUGAGACCUACACCAGAGCUCAGUGCAAUGCCGAAUCCUUUAACCCACUGAGCCAGGCAAGGGAUUGAACCUGCGUCCUCGUGGAUGCUAGUCAGAUUCGUUUCUGCUGAGCCAUGACGGGAACACCUUCCCUUUUCUUUCCUUUUCUUUCUUUUGCCUUUCCAUGGCACACAGAAGUUCCCAAGCCAGAGAUGGAUCUUGAGCCACAGCCACAGUGACUAUGCCAAAUCCUUAACCACUAGGCCGCCAGGAAACUCCUCCUUUCCUUUUUUUGUUUCCCUUUCUUUUUUUCUUUUCCUUCUUAUUUCCUUUCAGUUUCCUCCUCUGGGAAAUUGUGAUAAUAGUGCCGGGGAGUCAGAAUGGACCUUGGGAGGGGAGUUUUUCUUGGGUGACAGCUCUUCCUGUCUGCUCCCUCCAGUGGGUACCCUCUGCACGCAAGCUGGAAUAGAAAGUGUAUGGGUAGGGGGGAGUUGCGCCCCCCCCCCCACAAUGCGCCCUCCCAACUCUCUCCCACCCCAUGGCUUUCUUUUUUUCUUUUCCUUCUUAUUUCCUUUCCCUACCCUCUCUUUCAUUCCCAUUUUCUUUUUUUGUUUGUCUGUUUUUUUCUUUUUGCCUUUUGUCUUUUAGGGCCACACCCACGGCAUAUGGAACUUCCCAGGCUAUGGGUCUAAUUGGAGGUACAGGUGCUGGCCUAUGCCACAGCCACAGCAACGCCAGAUCCGAGCCGCGACUGCGACCUACACCACAGCUCAUGGCAACGAGGGAUCCUUAAUCCAGUGAGUGAGGCCAGAGAUCGAACCUGCGACCUCAUGGUUCCUAGUCGGAUUCGUUUCCACUGUGCCAUGACGGGAACUCCCCCCUUUCUUUUCUUUCUUUUUUUUUUUGCUUUUUAGCCCAUACCCAUGGCACAUGGAAGUUCUAACUAAGGGUUGAAUUGGAGCUGUAGCCGCUGGCCUACACCACAGCCACAGCCACACCAGAUCCAAGCCGCAUCUGUAACCUACACCACAGCUCAGUGCAACACGGGAUCCUUAACCCACUGAGUGAGGCCAGGGAUUGAACUUGCAUCCUCAUGGAUACUAGUCAGAUUCAUUUCCUCUGAGCCAUGACAGGAACUCCUGUUGCCCAUUUUCUUUCUUUCUCUUCAAAAAUGUGAAAACAGGAUUUCUCUUGUGGUGCAGUGGGCUAAGGAUCCUGCAUUGUCCCUGCAGUGGCUUGGGUUGUUGCUGUGGUGCAGGUUCAGUUCCUGGCCCGGGAACUUCCACGUGUGAAAACAGGCUGCAGUCUGGCUUUGACCUGAAGGGCUGGAGUGUGCUGAUCCUGGUUAUAGAGUGUCAGUCUUUGGUUUUAUCUGUCUGGGAUUCUUUUCUAGGAUGAAUGCAGAGGUUCUAUGUUUCCUGAGGAGAGGUAUUCCUAUUUUUAUGACUUUUUUUCCAUAAUAGUUGACUUACGGUAUUCCUUUUGUGUGAGGUGUGAGGACAGGGAUUGAUGGAUAAGGUCAGGUCAUUUCUGGUGUUCUUGUAUGGGGUCAAGCAAAUGUUCCUGGGCCGAGUGAGGAUAGGGAUGCCUAUAGUUUCUAUAGUAUUGUUCCUCUACUGAACCAAGCAAGGGUUCUAGACAGGACAAACCAGUUGCGUCUAGGGAGCUCCAGACUAGGAGUUCUCAUACAAAUUCAGGAUGGAGCUCCUUAAACUGAAUUAUGACAAGUUCCUAUGAAGUGAUCAGGGAGCCCAGUUCAGAAGUUGAGUUUGUGUAGACGUUAGGAUCAGGGUUUUUUUUUUUUUUUUUUUUUGCCAUUUCUUGGGCCACUUCCGUGGCAUUUGCAGGUUCCCAGGCUAGGGGUCAAGUCGGAGCUGUAGCUACCAGCUUACGCCACAGCCAUAGCCACAUGGGAUCCGAGCUGUGUCUGCGACCUGCACCACAGCUCACGGCAAUGCCAGGUCUUUAACCCACUGAGCAAGGCCAGGGACCAAACCCGCCACCUCAUGGUUCCUAGUUGGAUUCGUUAACCACUGAGCCACGACGGGAACUCCUGGAUCAGGUGUUCUUGGUGAGAUUCAGCCAAGUGGUUUUAUGAAUUGGGCUAAAUUAUGUCAGCUGCUAUAAAACCCAGCCCCUCAGAGGCUUCACAGAUACAUGUUGAUUUUCUACUUAUACAAAAGCUGUUGGGAAUAUUUAUUAUUGGUCAUUCAUGGACCCAGGCAACUUCCAUUUUGCAGCUCUGCAUUCCUCUGAGCCCUUGGAGGUCUCACCUGGCAGCUGGUAGAUGGGGAAGGAGAGAGAGCGGAGGAUUGUGUGAGAGACUUAGGGGCCAGGCCUGGAAGUGUCGUGUAUCAGUCCAUUGGUGAGCGCUCUGUCCCAUGUCCACAUAUAACUGGAAUGGAGGUUGGAAAAGUAUGUGCGCUUAGGAAGAAAAGAAACAGGUGUCUGCUACAGGUUCUAUAGAUGCCACAGAGCUGUGCUGUCCGGUGUGGUGGCCGCUAGCCACUGAGAUCUUGAAAUGUGAUUGGUCGAAUUUGAGAUGGGAGCCGUGACGGGAACUCCCACACCGGCUUUUUUUUAAGUAUGAAAAUAAUUGGAGUUCCUGUCCUGGCGCAGCAGAAACGAAUCCGACUAGGAACCUUGACGUUGCAGGUUCGAUCCCUGGCCUUGCUCAGUGGGUUAAGGAUCCAGCAUUGCCGUGAGCUGUGGUGCAGUUUGCAAAUGAGGCUCAGAUCUGGUGUUGCUGUGGCUGUGGUAUAGGUCAGCAGCUACAGCUCCGAUUAGAUUCCUAGCCUGGGAACCUCCAUGUGGAGUUCCCUGGUGGCCUAGUGGUUAGGGAUCUGGUGUUGCCACUAUUGUGGCUCAGGUUUAAUCCCUCCCUUGGGAACUACCUCAUGCUAUAGGUGCAGCCAGAAAAAAAAAAACCAAAACAACAACAACAAAAAGCCCUCAGGAGUUCCCAUCAUGGUGCAGUGGAAACAAAUCCAACUAGUAACCAUGAGGUUUUGGGUUCGAUCUCUGGCCUCACUCAGUGGAUUAAAGAUCCGGCAUUACCAUGAGCUGUGGUGUAGGCCAGCAGCUGUAGCUCUGAUUAGACCCCUAGCCUGGGACCCUCCAUAUGCUGUGGGUGGGGCUCUAAAAAGCAAAAAAAAUCCCCAAAGAGAAGUUCCUGUUGUGGUGCAGUGGAAACAAGCCCGACUAGGAACCAUGAAGUUGUGGGUUCAACUCCUGGCCUCGCUCAGGGGGUCAAGGAUCUGGUGCUGCCGUGAGCUGUGGUGUAGGUCGCAGAGGUAGCUUGGAUCUGGUACUGCUGUGGCAGUGGUGUCGGCCAGCGGCAACAGCUCCAAUUUGACCCCUAGCCUGGGAACCUCCAUAUGCCAUGGGUGUGGCCCUAAAAAG